rnacentral:rRNA from 1 species
GGAGAGCGGCAGACGGGUGAGUAACACGUGGGUAACCUACCCCUGGGUGGGGGAUAACUACUCGAAAGGGUGGCUAAUACCGCAUAAGACCACAUUCCUGCGGGGAUGAGGUCAAAGGCGCAAGCCGCCUGGGGAGGGGCCCGCGUCCGAUUAGCUAGUUGGCGGGGUAAUGGCCCACCAAGGCGACGAUCGGUAGCUGGUCUGAGAGGAUGAUCAGCCACACUGGUACUGAGACACGGACCAGACUCCUACGGGAGGCAGCAGUGGGGAAUAUUGCGCAAUGGGCGAAAGCCUGACGCAGCAACGCCGCGUGGGUGAUGAAGGCCUUCGGGUCGUAAAGCCCUGUCAGAUGGGAAGAAACCUCCCCGCAAGGGGAGCUGACGGUACCAUCGGAGGAAGCACCGGCUAACUCCGUGCCAGCAGCCGCGGUAAUACGGAGGGUGCAAGCGUUGUUCGGAAUCACUGGGCGUAAAGGGCGCGUAGGCGGUCAGGGAAGUCCGAUGUGAAAGCCCGGGGCUCAACUCCGGAAGUGCAUUGGAAACUCCCUGACUUGAGUUC